rnacentral:rRNA from 1 species
AUACGAAUGGUGCUAGCGUUGUUCGGAAUCACUGGGCAUAAAGGGCACGUAGGCGGUUUAGUAAGUCAUCUGUGAAAUCCCCCGGCUCAACCGAGGAACUGCAGCUGAAACUGCUGAACUAGAGUGCGCGAGGGGAGAGCGGAAUUCCUGGUGGAGCGGUGAUAUGCGUAGAUAUCAGGAGGAACGCCGGAGGCGAAAGCGGCUCUCUGGCGCGCAACUGACGCUGAGGUGCGAAAGCUAGGGGAGCGAACAGGAUUAGAAACCCUGGUAGUCC